GACAGAGGUGCCGAGCGUUAGGCGGAAUCACUGGGCUUAAAGCGUGUGUAGGCGGAUGGGUAAGUACCUUGUGAAAUCCCACGGCUCAACCGUGGAACUGCUCGGUAUACUGCUCGUCUUGAGCCAACUAGGGGCGACCGGAACAAACGGUGGAGCGGUGAAAUGCGUAGAUAUCGUUUGGAACGCCGAUGGUGAAAACAGGUCGCUGGGGUUGUGCUGACGCUGAGACACGAAAGCUAGGGGAGUGAAUGGG
rnacentral:rRNA from 1 species